rnacentral:rRNA from 1 species
CGCCCUGUUUAUCAAAAACAUUUCUUCGUGGUGUAUUAAAUAUGAAGUAUGAUCUGCCCACUGACUAUUAAGUGUUGAAGGGCCGCGGUAUUUUGACCGUGCAAAGGUAGCAUAAUCAUUAGUUUUUUAAUUGAGGACUGGUAUGAAUGAUUGUACGAAAGGUAGUCUGUUUCGGUUUAUUUUAUUAAUUGAAUUUAAACUUUAAGUUAAAAUGCUUAAAUUUUUUAAUGGGACGAGAAGACCCUAUAGAGUUUUAUUAUUGAUUAAUUAUUUAGUUUGAUUUUUUGUUAAUUAUAUUAUUAAUUUGAUUGGGGAGAUUGAAAGAUAUUUAAAACUCUUUUGCUUGAUUAUUAUUGAUUUGUUUAUUUGUGAUCCAUUUUUGAUGAUUGUUAGAAAAAAUUACC